rnacentral:tRNA from 1 species
UCCCCAGUGGCUCAGACAGUAAAGAAUCUGCCUGCAAUGCAGGAGACCUGGGUUCAAUUCCUAGGUUGGGAA